rnacentral:rRNA from 1 species
GACGAACGCUGGCGGCGUGCUUAACACAUGCAAGUCGAGCGGUAAGGCCCUUUCGGGGGUACACGAGCGGCGAACGGGUGAGUAACACGUGGGUGACCUGCCCUCAGCUCUGGGAUAAGCCCGGGAAACUGGGUCUAAUACUGGAUAUGACUCCAUGACGCAUGUUGUGGGGUGGAAAGCCCUGUGCGGCUGAGGAUGGGCCCGCGGCCUAUCAGCUUGUUGGUGGGGNGAUGGCCUACCAAGGCGACGACGGGUAGCCGGCCUGAGAGGGCGACCGGGCCACACUGGGACUGAGACACGGCCCAGACUCCUACGGGAGGCAGCAGUGGGGAAUCUUGCGCAAUGGGCGAAAGCCUGACGCAGCGACGCCGCGUGA